AGUCCCGCAACGAGCGCAACCCUUGUCCUUAGUUACCAGCACGUAAUGGUGGGCACUCUAAGGAGACUGCCGGUGACAAACCGGAGGAAGGUGGGGAUGACGUCAAGUCAUCAUGGCCCUUACGGCCUGGGCUACACACGUGCUACAAUGGUCGGUACAGAGGGUUGCCAAGCCGCGAGGUGGAGCUAAUCCCAUAAAACCGAUCGUAGUCCGGAUCGCAGUCUGCAACUCGACUGCGUGAAGUCGGAAUCGCUAGUAAUCGCGAAUCAGAAUGUCGCGGUGAAUACGUUCCCGGGCCUUGU
rnacentral:rRNA from 1 species